rnacentral:rRNA from 1 species
AUUGACUAAGGUUUCCAGAGGAAGGCUCGUCCGCUCUGGGUUAGUCGGGUCCUAAGUCGAGGCCGACAGGCGUAGACGAUGGAUAACAGGUUGAUAUUCCUGUACCACCAUUUAUCGUUUUAAGCGAUGGGGGGACACAGUAGGAUAGGCGAAGCGUGCUGUUGGAGUGCACGUCUAAGCAGUGAGACUGAAUGGUAGGCAAAUCCGCCAUUCUCAAGGUUGAGCUGUGAUGGGGAGAGGAAACAUGUUUUCCUCGAGUCGUUGAUUUCACACUGUCGAGAAAAGCCUCUAGCUAGAUAACUGGUGCCCGUACCGCAAACCGACACAGGUAGUCAAGAUGAGAAUUCUAAGGUGAGCGAGAGAACUCUCGUUAAGGAACUCGGCAAAAUGACCCCGUAACUUCGGGAGAAGGGGUGCUCUUUAGGGUUCACGCUCUGAAGAGCCGCAGUGAAUAGGCCCAAGCGACUGUUUAUCAAAAACACAGGUCUCUGCUAAACCGUAAGGUGAUGUAUAGGGGCUGACGCCUGCCCGGUGCUGGAAGGUUAAGAGGAGUGGUUAGCUUCUGCGAAGCUACGAAUCGAAGCCCCAGUAAACGGCGGCCGUAACUAUAACGGUCCUAAGGUAGCGAAAUUCCUUGUCUGGUAAGUUCCGACCCGCACGAAAGGCGUAACGAUUUGGGCACUGUCUCAACGAGAGACUCGGUGAAAUCAUAGUACCUGUGAAGAUGCAGGUUACCCGCGACAGGACGGAAAGACCCCGUGGAGCUUUACUGUAGCCUGAUAUUGAAAUUCGGCACAGCUUGUACAGGAUAGGUAGGAGCCUUAGAAGCGUGAGCGCCAGCUUACGUGGAGGCGCUGGUGGGAUACUACCCUAGCUGUGUUGGAUUUCUAACCCGCGCCAUUGAUCAUGGCGGGAGACAGUGUCAGGCGGGCAGUUUGACUGGGGCGGUCGCCUCCUAAAGUGUAACGGAGGCGCUCAAAGGUUCCCUCAGAAUGGUUGGAAAUCAUUCAUAGAGUGUAAAGGCAUAAGGGAGCUUGACUGCGAGACCUACAAGUCGAGCAGGGUCGAAAGACGGACUUAGUGAUCCGGUGGUUCCGCAUGGAAGGGCCAUCGCUCAACGGAUAAAAGCUACCCCGGGGAUAACAGGCUUAUCUCCCCCAAGAGUUCACAUCGACGGGGAGGUUUGGCACCUCGAUGUCGGCUCAUCGCAUCCUGGGGCUGUAGUUGGUCCCAAGGGUUGGGCUGUUCGCCCAUUAAAGCGGUACGCGAGCUGGGUUCAGAACGUCGUGAGACAGUUCGGUCCCUAUCCGUCGUGGGCGUAGGAAAUUUGAGAGGAGCUGUCCUUAGUACGAGAGGACCGGGAUGGACAUACCUCUGGUGUACCAGUUGUCGUGCCAACGGCAUAGCUGGGUAGCUAUGUAUGGACGGGAUAAGUGCUGAAAGCAUCUAAGCAUGAAGCCCCCCUCAAGAUGAGAUUUCCCAACUUCGGUUAUAAGAUCCCUCAAAGAUGAUGAGGUUAAUAGGUUCGGGGUGGAAGCAUAGCGAUAUGUGGAGCUGACGAAUACUAAUCGAUCGAAGACUUAAUCAA